UACGGAGGGGGGCUAGCGUUGUUCGGAAUUACUGGGCGUAAAGAGCUCGUAGGCGGUUUGUCGCGUCUGCUGUGAAAACGCGAGGCUCAACCUCGCGCCUGCAGUGGGUACGGGGCAGACUAGAGUGCGGUAGGGGGAGAUUGGAAUUCCUGGUGUAGCGGUGGAAUGCGCAGAUAUCAGGAGGAACACCGAUGGCGAAGGCAGAUCUCUGGGCCGUGAACUGACGCUGAGGAGCGAAAGCGUGGGGAGCGAACAGG
rnacentral:rRNA from 1 species